rnacentral:rRNA from 1 species
CUGCUGCCUUCCGUAAGAGUUUGGGCCGUGUCUCAGUCCCAAUGUGGCCGUUCACCCUCUCAGGCCGGCUACUGAUCGUUGCCUUGGUAGGCCGUUACCCUUCCAACUAGCUAAUCAGACGCGGGUCCAUCCUUUUGCGAUAGCAUCUUCAGAGGCCAUCUUUCCUUAAAGAAUCAUGCGAUCCUCUAUUAUUAUGCGGUAUUAGCUCCGAUUUCUCGAAGUUGUUCCCCACAAAAGGGCAGGUUACCCACGCGUUA